UAUGCUUUGGUGAUAAGCCUUAACAUGUUAUGUUAGAAGAAUCAUUUGUAAUGAUAUCUUCAGUGAAAUAUUCUUGUUACGCUUCUGAGCGUU
rfam:Prunus persica cultivar Lovell chromosome G3, whole genome shotgun sequence.